rfam:Pongo abelii chromosome 5.
GGAUGUGAAGGCAAUCUGGCUGUGACAUCUGUCACCCCAUUGAUCGUCAGGGUUGAUUUGGCUGAUGUAGCUGGCUAGGCGUGUGUCCCCUUCCUCCCUCACUGCUCCAUGUGCAUUCUUCCUGAAGCUGCAUGCUUGGCAGAAGAGGACAACCAUCCUUGAUAGAGAAAGACGCAUCUUCCGUCAAGGGUAUACGAGUAGCUGUGUUCCCCUGCUAGAACCUCCAAACAAGCUUUAAGGUCUAUUUGUAGGAGGACGUGGGUAGUAAGGCUUCCAAGACUCCAGACACACCCCAGUGAGGCACUGGAUGAGGCAGCAGUCUACCUUUGUG